UAGUCUCGCACAGAUGCAUAUCAAUAAGCGGAGGAAAAGAAACUAACAAGGAUUCCCCUAGUAACGGCGAGUGAAGCGGGAAGAGCUCAAAUUUGAAAUCUUAAAGGGUUUCCCUUUACGAAUUGUAGUUUAAAGAAGUGUUUUCUGUUGAGGUUUUGGUAAAAGUUCUUUGGAAUAGGACAUCAUAGAGGGUGAGAAUCCCGUAUUUGACCUUUACUUUCAACUUUGUGAUACACUUUCAAAGAGUCGGAUUGUUUGGGAAUGCAGUCCAAAAUGGGUGGUAAAUUUCAUCUAAAGCUAAAUAUUGGCGAGAGACCGAUAGCGAACAAGUACCGUGAGGGAAAGAUGAAAAGAACUUUGAAAAGAGAGUUAAACAGUACGUGAAAUUGUCAAAAGGGAAGCGUUUGACACCAGUGUUGUUUUUCUGAAAAUCAAUUAAAGAACUGUUUAUGCUAAGCUGUUUAGACUUUAUCAGCUAUCUGUUUAGUUUUGAGCUUUUCUUUAAUGCACUUUUCAGUUAACAAGUCAACAUCAAUUUCUUUUGCUGUAAAAAAGCUUGAGGAAGGUGGCUUGAGAUUCGUCUUAAGUGUUUAUAGCCUCUUGCCUAUGCAGUCGGAGAGAUUGAGGUCUGCAGCGUAGAUCCUUCGGGGCUAAAUGCAUUUGUGCUAAGUUAUAACAUUUUAUAGACAACUUGUUGACUAUGAUUUGUCUUGUAGCUUACUCGCUUAUGUUAUUUUACCUACGCUUAGGAUGUUGAUCUGUAGUGCGUGCGC
rnacentral:rRNA from 1 species